rnacentral:rRNA from 1 species
GAGUAACACGUGGGUGAUCUGCCCUGCACUUCGGGAUAAGCCUGGGAAACUGGGUCUAAUACCGGAUAUGACCAUGGGAUGCAUGUCUUGUGGUGGAAAGCUUUUGCGGUGUGGGAUGGGCCCGCGGCCUAUCAGCUUGUUGGUGAGGUUAUGGCUUACCAAGGCGACGACGGGUAGCCGGCCUGAGAGGGUGUCCGGCCACACUGGGACUGAGAUACGGCCCAGACUCC